rnacentral:tRNA from 1 species
GCCGGGUUCGCCUAGUCUGGUAGGGCGCAGGCUUGCUAAGCCUGUACCCCGUGAGGGGUGCGGGGGUUCGAAUCCCCCACCCGGCG